GACGAACGCUGGCGGCGUGCUUAACACAUGCAAGUCGAACGGAAAGGCCCUGCUCUUGUGGGGUGCUCGAGCGGCGAACGGGUGAGUAACACGUGAGUAACCUGCCCUUGACUUUGGGAUAACUUCAGGAAAAUGGGGCUCAUACCGGAUAGGAGCUCCUGCUGCAUGGUGGGGGUUGGAAAGUUUCGGCGGUUGGGGAUGGACUAGCGGCUUAUCAGCUUGUUGGUGGGGUAGUGGCUUACCAAGGCUUUGACGGGUAGCCGGCCUGAGCGGGUGAGCGGCCACAUUGGGACUGAGAUACGGCCCAGACUCCUACGGGAGGCAGCAGUGGGGAAUAUUGCACAAUGGGCGGAAGCCUGAUGCAGCAACGCCGCGUGCGGGAUGACGGCCUUCGGGUUGUAAACCGCUUUCGCCGGUGACGAAGCGUGAGUGACGGUAAUGGGUAAAGAAGCACCGGCUAACUACGUG
rnacentral:rRNA from 1 species